rnacentral:lncRNA from 1 species
UAAUUUUUCUUGAUUUUUAGGUAUCUUAUUUACGAAGGAUUGAAGUAAUGAAACCGAACUUUAGGCACAGACUAAGAUUAGUCUGUGCUUUAGGUUUGCCGAAUGUGUUUCUUAAUAGAUGAUAGAUGGCGAUUGCUGUAAUAGGGAUUUAACACAGAUUCAACACAGGUAGGGGGCAGCUCAGCCGCAGCAGGUAGGGCUGGUUGUUGUGGAGCUGGUACCGAAUUGGUGUUUUUGGAAAGUUGACGUAAUAGCAGAUUCCUUAGGAACGUUUUUACGAUUUUUAAGUGUCUUAUUUACGAAGAACGAAGCUAUGAAAAUCAACUUCAGGCUUGCGAUGUUUGUGUCCGUCGCUGGAUAGCGUUUAGCUUGGAAAAGAAACAUUUUGUGUCAGAUAAAGUAACCAUAACCAUGGUAAUCUAUAAGCUAAAGAGCUAUAAGAAAGUUUGUAUACCUGUAACCGGUUUUUACGAAAUUGAAACUUAUUUAUGAAUGAUAUGGCGUGUUGAUUGGAAUAGGAAAAGUUUUGUAAAUUGAUUGGAAGGGGAAAGGUUUUGUAAACAGGUUGUUUGUCAACCAAAAAGUCGCCGGUAAGGUUUCAUGUAUUUAUACAGUUUUUAUUUUGUCGUUUUCUGUAGCUUCUUACUCCCAUUUGAAGAAUUGACAACGCAUGUCGUUCUGUGUGUCAGCAAGGUUUUUAAUAAUUUCGAUGUCACAGAAGAAUCAUGGUAAAAUGGGGAAACCACCAUUUUGCGAUCAAAUCUCCAAACCGUUAUUGCAUCUAUGUGGAAAAGAGAGCUUAAAAUGUGUCAGCAGCUAGCCUCCUUACAAGAAAAAGUAAUUCAUAUGGAUACACAGUAUUCAAAACAGCUGGAAGCAUUAAGACAGAAAUGAAGUUCAAAGUUUUUUCGUUUCAUUUUGACAAUAUUAUUUAGUCUGUGGUGGCAUUAUAUACCUUAUUUGAUAUGUGAAUAUUUUUUGGAAAGUGUUAAAACUUCUCAGAAAUUAGAUUUCGAGGAGUUACAUAACAAGUGCAAGAAGAUUGAACGAAAUGUGAAAGAGCAACACAAGAAUAAAAUACUUCCAACCUCAACUCAAGAAUCAUCAAACAAAAGAAAAUCCUAAACAGAUCUUCUUUGAAAUGGCUGAAUGUGAGGUGAACAUUCUAAAGUCAAAACAGGAAUUCAGACUGACUAUUAAACGUUUCCGUCUAAAAUCGACAGGCACUGAACAUAAUGUUUAAAGUUUGGUCUAACUACAUUAUUGCUAUGGUUGGAUUUGCAUUUCCUCAGUAGAAAUGUAACGCUACCGAUGCUGCAAUUCUGAUGGAAACGCUCAAAUUCAGCCUUCAGUCGUCCAUGUAUACAAUAACGCUAUUUCUAAUUCAACCGUUAUGGAGCUGUAAAAACUACAAAUGAUUUCCGUUGGGGUUCAAGAAAAUUUGAUAGACCUAUUCCAUGGCAGUGAAAAUGGUUAUUGAUUGCUGAGUCAGAGAACAAUAUGUAAAAUCUGACAUUCUAGCCCUCGAAACCUCAGCUGACCAUAUGCUUCAACAAGAGUAUAACGCAAUUAUAAUUUUGAGGAGGUCCCAACUCAGUUUACGCCCGGUUUACGCAGAACAUGCCCCACUUUACGACCCAGCAAUCUUUACUUGUGGUCUUCCAGUUCAGGGAAUUUGUUAUGCUCUUAUGCAUGCAAUUACUCAACAAAGAAUUAGAAAAACAAUUAUGUCAUAAAAUAAGCAGCAGUGUAUCGAUUACGUCCGGCGUAUGUUAGGGCGUAAGAUCGUGCUCGUGCUGGUAAGCGGCGAAAUCGAUUCCGCCGUUUGUGCUACCCUUCUCCAUAAAGCACUUCUACAGGGUGAGGACUCGUCGCGAGUGCAGACCAUCCAUAUCGAUAACGGUUUCCUGUGUAAAGAUGAAUCCGAGCAGGUCGUCACUAGUUUACAGCAACUCGGGCGCAAUCUUCGGACAGUGGUUUCUCAUUUCUUCUUCAUACUAGCGAUCAGAUUUGAUGUUUCGAAUUGUUUUAAGUUGUUAAAGCAAGUUUGACCUUCUACGAUGCUUUCGCCAACGUGCAUGGUCGCCAAACUUUGUCCUUGUGUUGGACUGUGAAUCCGGAAGGAAAACGUCAAAUAAUUUGCGAUACGUUUGUUAAAGUGACAGAUAGUGCGACUAACGAUUUAAAUCUUAAUUGGGAAAAUCUACGUCUCGGACGAGGUACUUGGAUGCCGGAUUCAAUUGGACUCUUUGUGCGCUGAUGCCACAAAUACUCUUAAUGAUUCCGAAAUGGUUCGUCAAUUGCGCCUUCACGGUCGUGUAGUAGAACCUAAUAAAGACUUCCAUAAAGAUGAAGUAAGAGCCUUAGGUCGCGAACUGGGUCUGCUCGCAGAAUUACUAAUGAUGAACUACUAAUCAUAAUGUCAAUCGCGUUUGCUACGUAUUCGGAAAGGCUGAAUCGGUGGCAAACGUUACACCUACCUUCUUAACGAGUAACAUUUUGGCAACUUUGAGGGAAGCGGAUUAUUUGGCAUAUAAAAUAUAACAGGAUUCGGGUUGCCAUAAGAAGCUAGCCCAGAUGCCCAUCGUCUUGAUCCCUCUUCACUUUAAUCACGAUUCGAGUCAACGCAUUCCAUUAUGCCAGCAAUCGGUCGUUUUUCCACCAUUCUUUUCACAGGAUUUGAUGACUGGACUUCCUGCAAUUCCUGAUACUUAUCUGCCCCAAGAGGUUGUAGAAGUUGAAGCCGUCUCAAAUGUUCCAGGAAUUUCCAGGGUCUUGCAUGACCUGACGGCAAAACCACCCGGGACAACGGAGUGGGAAGGAUUUGAUUUACGAACUUUACUUAGGCAAAUGAUCUCCGCACUCUUUAUAGGACGCGGAUACAGAGUUGUAUCAUUGACCAGAUUUGGAUGGAAAUAUUAUGAACAGUGGAUUCUGUAUAGACUUUUGAAAUUGAAAAUCAAUCAGCUUUACCUUAAGUGAAAAUCUCUUAAACUCGCUUUUUAAGAGGAGUUCAUGUGAUAACUUGUUGACUAUUCCUUAAAUGUACAUGCACAUUUGUUGGAAAUAAUGGGGGCAGUUGUUUUUCGUCGAACUAGGUGGGUUGUUGUUCCUCUCCUUUCUGAAACUACCCUUUUUUGCCCUAUUAUUAAUCUAAUUCUAUUGGAAACGUUCGGAUGUCGCCCAAAAACAAGCGGCCAUUUGAGGCGUUAUGCCAUUUCCUGAAAUUGAACAUUCAGAAAAUGUGGUAUAUGUUCGCAACUUGUUAAGAUUCAUUCAGAGUGGUACCAUAAAGUAUGACUGUAGGAAAGGGUACGUAGGCUUCUAAAAAUUAAAAACAGCUCUGACGUCUUUUGCAGCUAGCCAACAAUUUGCAUAACAUAAAAAAUGAGCAGUAUUAUUCGAAAAAUUUCAAAUACUUUUCUUGCAUGCGUUAGGGUGAUGCAGCUAUUAUUCCGUGUUUUUUUUUUUUUUUCGCUAUUAACAGUACAGGCUGACACUACGAGCAAUGGCAGUUUUUGUUACAAAUGUUUUAGCGCCUCGUCUUGCAACUAGUACUUGAUAUGCUAGGUUUUUAUGUUUUAAAUUGGAAUUCAACUAUUUGAGAUCAGUAAAGUUCAAGCACUUAAAAGCAAGAAUUGUACUGUUUUCGAAGUAAAAUCUAUUUCUUUCUUCUAAUUCUUUCUUUGGGUUUCAGGAAGAAAAACUAGAUGGCGUUAAUGUUCGUCUAUGAUAAAUAUUGCCAGUGACAACUAAAUUGGUGUUUGUUACGUUUCUACCCUGUUUAGUGUUUUAAAGAACUUUUCAUCAGAUAUUAACGAUAUGAUAUAAUCUGUUCAGUAUUGCUAUCGUUGUGUAUGUAUUGAAAAGCAAAUCCUUAAAAUAGAUUGUUUUUUGUAUGUGGUAAAGUAAAAGGUCAGGUAAAACAAGUAAAAGUAAGUGAAAGAUCACUAUUAAAUAGGAUUGAAUUUUGUAACUAUGCCAAGGUAACAAGCCGUCUUCUGGUAGAAAUUCUUAUGCCUUACGCCUUAGUUGUUACUGGUUGUCUGCUGAAUGUAGAUUACAAUCUAUUUUAAACAUUCUCUUGGUUACUAAACUCAGAUAUGCCACCUAUUUUUCACGAUUAUUUGCAUGGUUGACCCUCGAUUGUUGUUUGAAGGUGUAUUGUCACCAGACAUCCUUUGAAUGGUACAAUAUGUUUGCAUGUUAUUUCUUUCAGUUCAAUUUUCUGUCACACAAGGUUUUCAUUCUCCAGGUAAACCCACUAUCAGCAGCCUUACAAAGUUCUUCAUAAAUACAACCCCUGAGAAAACAUUAUCGUUGGAAAUUGUUUUUAUGUUGUGGUUGGGUUCUCCACUUUUAUUAUCCAUUUGCAAUUUUCACACUACUUCAUUAUCACCAUGGUAUGUCAAUUGCUUGAGUUUUGUUGGAAUAAUUUUUUAGGAAAUUUUUACCUACUUUUGGAAAACCUGCUUAACCUUAACUUAACUUUUGGAAAACCAGAAAAGGGAUUCUGGAAAUUGAUAAUUUCUAAUCUACACUGGUAAUCAGGUUUAUUUUUACAUGUAUAACAUAGAUCUGCAUUAAUGUUGUUUUGCUUUCCCACAAGCAGAUAACAAUAUUUAAUAUAUUUACGUUUCAGAAUGAGCUUCGAAUUUGAAGUUGAGUGUUUUAUCAGAUUACAGAUUCCGACUGAAAAUCAAACAAUUUCCUUCUACAAAUGGAUUUUGAAGUAUUAUGUGCAUGUGCAUGUGGUAUUAUGUACUCUAUGAUCCUUUAAUUGGUGAUCUACAAAAAAAAUGACCAUAGAAGGAAGUUUUUGCAGGAUCUGUUAUCGGCCGUCUAUGUUAUGCAGUAAUUGGAUCUGCAGUUUAGUUAUAGUAGAAUUUAUAUGAAAAAUGAUGUUUGAUUGGAAAAAGUUCCUGAUUGAGACAAGAGAUUUAAAAAAAUGAUACUGUUUGGAAGGACGACCGGCAAUUUCAAGAUUCAUUUAUUUCCUUCUACAUUAUACUAUUUAUAAUUUUUAAAAAAUUGAAUUGUAUAUCUGGGCUCCCUUCUUUUCUGUGGUCCCGUUUCCCCUUGACUCGUAAUAAGCCCGUAGGGGGUCAUGCCCCUACUGUGAUCAGCAGUAAA